UGGCUCAGUGGUAGAGUGCUUGCCUAGCAUGCAUGAGGACCUGGGUUCAAUUCCUUG
rnacentral:tRNA from 1 species